GCUUUUGAUACGGAGCCUACCGGUACUAGUUAUGCUAUUGGUUUUGUCGUUGAUAAGCGAAGGGGGAUUAUUCUCACUAAUCGCCAUGUGGUCAAACCAGGACCUAUUGUUGCCGAAGUAAUGUUUGUAAAUCGAGAAGAAAUAACUGUGCAUCCUAUAUAUAGAGAUCCGCUUCAUGAUUUUGGCUUCUUUCAUUACGAUCCUGAUGCAAUUCAAUUUUUAGACUAUGGGGAGAUUCCACUUGCCCCAGAGGCCGC